ACAAACGCUGGCGGCGUGCCUAACACAUGCAAGUCGUACGAGAAAGUCGGCUUCGGCCGAUGAGUACAGUGGCGCACGGGUGAGUAGCGCGUGGGUAAUCUGCCCCCCGGUCAGGAAUAACCCGCCGAAAGGCGGGCUAAUACCCGAUAACACUGACGCUCCGCGGAGCGUCUUUCAAAGAAGGCCUCUGUUUACAAGCUUUCGCCGGAGGAUGAGCCCGCGUACCAUUAGCUAGUUGGCAGGGUAAUGGCCUACCAAGGCUACGAUGGUUAGCUGGUCUGAGAGGAUGGCCAGCCACACUGGAACUGAGACACGGUCCAGACUCCUACGGGAGGCAGCAGUGAGGAAUCUUGCGCAAGUGGGGGAAACCCUGACGCAGCAACGCCGCGUGAGUGAGGAAGGCCUUCGGGUCGUAAAGCUCUGUCAGAUGGGAAGAAAUGGAUGGGGGCUAAUAUCGCCCAUCCUUGACGGUACCAUCGGAGGAAGCACCGGCUAACUCCGUG
rnacentral:rRNA from 1 species